AUUUUCUGUGGUUGAGGCAUUUCCAUAGGUCAAGAGAAGGGACACCUCAAGAAAUACUGCUCUUCAGCUAUUAGUACAAUUCAUUUAUGUUUUCUGCCAUAAAUUUUGUUUAGUAAAUGAAUGAUUUUGUUAAUGUUUGUGUGUUGGCAGCAGCCAACAGUAUUUUUCCCUGAAGGAAAACUGUGUAUUAUUUUAAACGACACUUUCUAUUUACAUGAGAAAAUUCAAAAUUGUUUUUUUUUAUUUUUAUUUUUAAUACAAACAACAGAAAUAGGAAAUGGUCCUGAAAGCCUGAAACAGAUGCUUUUAAACAAUUUAGCAAUACAGAGAAAGUAUACCCUGUUGAAGGCAGGCUGCAGGAAUGUUAACAUCCUCUCAAGCUUAAGGAGUUUCUGGAUCAGAACGCUCAGGUAGGAGUUAUAGCAGUCUCAGGAUUACACUUGACCUAGUAGAAAAGAUGAUGGUGUAAAAAGUGACAUCAGCUGGGACUUGUGGGGGUCGUGCAUAUCUACGUGCCUGUAUAUACAUAUAGAAUCAUAGAAUCAUUAAGGUUGGAGAAGACCUCUAAGAUCAUCCAGUCCAGCCAUCCAUCUACCACCAACAUUACCCACUAACCGUGUCCCUUAGAACCACAUCUCCACGUUCCUUGAACACCUCCAAGGAUGGUGACUCCACCACUCCCUGGGCAGCCUGUUCCAGUGUCUGACCACUGCUUCUGAGCAGAAAUUCUUCCUAAUAUGUAAACACCGGCAACAAGCAAACAAACAAACAAACACCAUUAUUGUUUUCCAAAAUAUGCAACAUCUAUUUUUACAGUUAAGCUUCACAACUGGCAAUGUGAAAAAAAAGAAAUAAUGAAAUGAGCGAGAGUGGGCUUUUUAUUAUGCAUGGUUUUAUUUCUUUGAAUUUCAAAAUUACCUAGCAUGCAUUUUAAACUUUGGUACAAUUUGCAGGCUGUUUUCAUUUCUAUUUAAAAAGGCUAAACACUAAGAAUGUGCCUCUGCUUUGCAUUCUAAUUGCAUGUAACUGAUUUGCACAGCAGAACAAAAACCUAAUUUUCAGAUUAUGAAUCAUGCGCUAAGAAAUAAUUAUUGUUUUACAAGUGAAAAAAUGUUUUCCUCAUUUCCCCCCUCUUGCCCAAUUGAUGAGAACUCCUUGCCAGUUUGUAGGUUGCCAGCCUUCGCAGAACGGCAUCUAUUACUCUUGAGGGACUUGGAAAGGUAGGCAGAAACACAAGGCAUACAACUGUUUUGACUGCAUUCUUUCGCUUGCAACGUAACACUUGCCUUUUAUUAUUUUAUCUUCAACAAUCAAGGGGUGACUAAAUGGUUGCAGGUGGUGAUGAAAAUAAAAGCCAUCCAUCAUUAUUUAUUAGGCAUGAAAAAGAUACACAAUAAUGUAAUUUAAUCCCGGAGCAGACAAUUAUUUCCACAUAUUGAUAAUACAAUGUGAAAACUGUCAUGAAUCCUAAUGUGAUGUUCGCCUUUAUUGGUGAACCACUAGUAGCAAU
rnacentral:lncRNA from 1 species